AACGAACGCUGGCGGCAUGCCUAACACAUGCAAGUCGAACGAGACCUUCGGGUCUAGUGGCGCACGGGUGCGUAACGCGUGGGAACCUGCCCUUAGGUUCGGAAUAACUCCCCGAAAGGGGUGCUAAUACCGGAUAAUGUCUUCGGACCAAAGAUUUAUCGCCUUUGGAUGGGCCCGCGUUGGAUUAGCUAGUUGGUAGAGUAAAAGCCUACCAAGGCGACGAUCCAUAGCUGGUCUGAGAGGAUGAUCAGCCACACUGGGACUGAGACACGGCCCAGACUCCUACGGGAGGCAGCAGUGGGGAAUAUUGGACAAUGGGCGAAAGCCUGAUCCAGCAAUGCCGCGUGAGUGAUGAAGGCCUUAGGGUUGUAAAGCUCUUUUACCCGGGAUGAUAAUGACAGUACCGGGAGAAUAAGCGCCGGCUAACUCCGUG
rnacentral:rRNA from 1 species